UAAAUGUUUUAGGAGUAAUCCUAGUGAUGAGUUUUAUGAUUUAGUUUUUAAUGUUUUCGGAGUCACGUGAUGAGGUGCCAGGAGGUGGCUGCAUAGUAGAUGAGCUCCGUACCCCGUCUUAAUUUUUACACGUCAAAUUACGAAACUCUUCCCGUCUGCAUGAUUUAAACGCAGCUAAACUUGUUAAGAUACAAGAUUUUUUUCCUCUCCCAGCCGAAACAUCGCCAUGAGUCAGAAAAAACGAAGUAUACAAACGCGCCUCCCGACUGUUUCUACUGGCGAAGCUAGCUCUGCUAAUCAACAUGAAGGCCAGAGGACCGAAAUAAGCGACCUGCUUGCAGAAAUUACUAAAGUGGGAGCUACACUGAACGUGGUGGCAAGUGAUGUUUCGCUUAUUAAGUCUGACACGACAGAGUUAAAGAACGCCGUAAGUGCAAUCCAACUACGGCUAACUGGAGCCGAGAACCGCAUUUCGGACAUGGAGGACCAAGUUGCUAAUGUGGCUAAAGACAAGAAGCUGCUAGCUAAGAAGCUUGAUCUACUUUGGGCUCGUGCGGAUGAUCAAGAAAACAGACAUCGGCAGAAGAAUAUAAGAUUGGUGGGACUGAAAGAAGGAAUGGAAGGAAACGGCGCUCUAUGUGAUUACAUUAGGAAGUUAAUCUCCGACGGCCUCGGGCUGGAUGGAGUGGAAUACGAGAUUGAAAGCUGCUACAGAAGCCCGGGACCGCGUCCAGGACCUAACCAACCUCCACGCAUCAUACUGGUGAGAUUUCUGCGAUUUACAGCCCGGCAGAAAGUCCUCAUGGCUGCCAAGAAGAAAAGAGGCAUAUUGUGGGAAAACUGUAAGCUGUCAUUUUUUGAAGACCUGACCAAGGAGCGUGUGGCUCAGCGGAAGCAGUUUUCCCCAGUGAUGAAGCUGUUGUGGCAACGCCAGGUGAAACACACACUGGCACAUCCAGCAACCCUCAGAUUUACAUGGAAGCAGGAACGCAUGAGCUUCACAGAUGCGAAGGAAGCUGAAAACUUUGUUAAAGAAAACAUGGCCGUGGAGACGGAGUAAUGCAAGAAGAGGGGAGAGAGGAAGAUUUUCACACAUGACGGGGAGGGGGGGCAUCGAGGCGUGGCUACAUCCAGAAGACAGGUGGAGGACAGGUGAGGACCAAAACUUAUGGGGAGGCUUUGUUCCACCAUCACGGUCCUCGCCUGUGGAACCGCCUGCUGGAGAACCUCGGGGCCGCAGAGACUGUAGAGGUUUUUAAGAAGAGGCUCAAGACCCACUUUUGCAAUCUGGCUUUUAGUUGAUCUUAUCUGCUUUUUUUAUUCUGUUAGUUUUAGUAUAUAUUAUUUUAUGUAUUUAUCAUUGUAUGCAUUUAGUCUUAUUCUCAAUUUGAUGUUCUUAUAUUCAUCUUAUGUCUUUAAUUUUAGUGGGUUUUUUUGUGGGGAUCUUUUGUCAGGGUUUGCUGGUUUGGUUGGUGGUUUUUGCCGCAGUUGUUGCCCUUGCUGGGGCGGCUGGAGUUUAACACUGCAGCCUUAAGGCUGUGAACUGGACCCCUUUGCCAUCCCAGUGUGUGAGUGUGUGUGUGUGUGUGGGUGGGGGGUGGGGGGGGGGCACUGCGGCAAUGCUUCUAUGGCUGAGCUGCUCCUGGUAUGAGGAGAUUCCUACAUCACAGCAGAGCCAAGCGUGGAGUUUCUUUUAGCAGUUACUUUUAUCUGAAUUCAUUGUGUGUGGGGGUCAAGGGUCGUAUGUUUUAAUGGAGGGGAGUGGGGAAGGUGAGGGGUGUUUUUUUAUUUUUAUUGUAAUAUUGUGUUGUUUUUUUUAAUGUUAAAGCACUACAAGUUGUGCAGUGUAUGAGAAGCGCUUUAAAAAAAAAAUAAAAUAAAGUUUGAUUUAUUUGAAAA